CGUCUGGAGAGCAUGCUUUCGCCUGUCCGCUCGGUCAGACUGGAAAUAGGCGCGUGUAACAUGGCUAGGAAAAGCUUAUUAACGUUUAUAUGUUUUAAUCUUUAUGAUGAAACAUGACGUUAGUCUGCAGAAAGAAUUGCUUCCAAUUUAAUCGCAUUAUGGUGACUUUUGGAGCGGUGACAAGGCCGCAUCGGCGUGGAAAUACUGGCUGGGGAUAAAGCUGGGUCCACGCGGUGUCUGAGGUGCUUUGACAUCCACACGUGGCCGGCCCCGGUGGCGUGCGUUCAGAAGAAGGCCCUUCUUCACGGAACACGCGGUUUGGUGUGGAUGAAACCUGCAAUAGCAACAUGCUAUCUGGCACUCAAUAAAUGGAAAAGCGACACCAGGACUCGCAAUAAUUAACGUGUUUUUGGUUUCCUUCAGUCUGCGCAUUUUUUUAAACCGUGAGACUUGAAAUUUUUUGAACCAUUUUUAAUAAAAGAUUUGAACAAGCUCAUUCUUGCCAUUUCUUUUAUUCCACUGUUAGCCUUUUUGUAAAUGUAUUGUAAGCACUACUUUCUACCCGAGUGGCCUUUUCCGUGGCCAUUCACAAAGGUGAAGGGACGUGCUAGAGCAAAUAUCUUGUUAUAACUGGAGUUUCUUGGCAAUUCCACCAAGUCACUCUUUUAAAGCAUGAUACAGAAUCUUUAGAGCAAUAUGUUUGAAUGCAUAAAUCUAGAAAAUUAUUUAUUUGUGAAUUUUUGUUUUGUAUAAAUGUGCAGCUGAGGAUAUCAGUC